rnacentral:rRNA from 1 species
GAAGGUGAAGUCGUAACAAGGUCUCCGUAGGUGAACCUGCGGAGGGAUCAUUA